rnacentral:rRNA from 1 species
GACUUCUGGUUUAAUGCACCUGGCCCGCGGCUCUUUAGGCUUGUGAGUGCCGGCGGCGCGUUUACCAUCCUUCUGGGAACGGGUCUACCCUUAACUGGGGAUCCAGAUCAUUUACUUUGAAAAAAUUAGAGUGUUUAAAGCAGGCUAUUGCUAUGAUACAUUAGCAUACUAGGACUUCGGUUCUAUUUUGUUGGUUUCUAUAACUGAAGUAAUGAUUGAUAGGGAUAGUUGAAUUCUUGGAUUCGGUCAAGACUAACUUAUGCGAAAGCAUU